UACAGAGGGGGCAAGCGUUAUUCGGAAUUAUUGGGCGUAAAGGGCGCGUAGGCGGUCGUGCAAGUGGAAGGUGAAAUCCCUCGGCUCAACCGAGGAACUGCCUUUCAAACUGCAUGACUUGAGUCCGGGAGAGGUGAGUGGAAUUCCCAGUGUAGCGGUGAAAUGCGUAGAUAUUGGGAGGAACACCAGUGGCGAAGGCGGCUCACUGGACCGGAACUGACGCUGAGGCGCGAAAGCCAGGGGAGCGAACGGG
rnacentral:rRNA from 1 species